UCAGCCACACUGGAACUGAGACACGGUCCAGACUCCUACGGGAGGCAGCAGUGGGGAAUAUUGCACAAUGGGCGCAAGCCUGAUGCAGCCAUGCCGCGUGUGUGAAGAAGGCCUUCGGGUUGUAAAGCACUUUCAGUCGUGAGGAAGGUAGUGUAGUUAAUAGCUGCAUUAUUUGACGUUAGCGACAGAAGAAGCACCGGCUAACUCCGUGCCAGCAGCCGCGGUAAUACGGAGGGUGCGAGCGUUAAUCGGAAUUACUGGGCGUAAAGCGCAUGCAGGUGGUUUGUUAAGUCAGAUGUGAAAGCCCGGGGCUCAACCUCGGAAUUGCAUUUGAAACUGGCAGACUAGAGUACUGUAGAGGGGGGUAGAAUUUCAGGUGUAGCGGUGAAAUGCGUAGAGAUCUGAAGGAAUACCGGUGGCGAAGGCGGCCCCCUGGACAGAUACUGACACUCAGAUGCGAAAGCGUGGGGAGCAAACAGGAUUAGAUACCCUGGUAGUCCACGCCGUAAACGAUGUCUACUUGGAGGUUGUGGCCUUGAGCCGUGGCUUUCGGAGCUAACGCGUUAAGUAGACCGCCUGGGGAGUACGGUCGCAAGAUUAAAACUCAAAUGAAUUGACGGGGGCCCGCACAAGCGGUGGAGCAUGUGGUUUAAUUCGAUGCAACGCGAAGAACCUUACCUACUCUUGACAUCCAGAGAACUUUCCAGAGAUGGAUUGGUGCCUUCGGGAACUCUGAGACAGGUGCUGCAUGGCUGUCGUCAGCUCGUGUUGUGAAAUGUUGGGUUAAGUCCCGCAACGAGCGCAACCCUUAUCCUUGUUUGCCAGCGAGUAAUGUCGGGAACUCCAGGGAGACUGCCGGUGAUAAACCGGAGGAAGGUGGGGACGACGUCAAGUCAUCAUGGCCCUUACGAGUAGGGCUACACACGUGCUACAAUGGCGCAUA
rnacentral:rRNA from 1 species